GGAAGAAAUUGUGAUUUGGAAACCCUAAUCUUUUAUCUUCCAUUUUAGAGGUUGAAAACUUGUAUUUGUGCAUUGACAUAUUAUCGAGUGUUUGUUCGAAGUUGCGGAGAAGGCGGUUCCGGAAGAAGGAACUAAGGAUUUGUUGAUUUGA